rnacentral:rRNA from 1 species
AGAGUUUGAUCCUGGCUCAGAACGAACGUUGGCGGCGUGGAUUAGGCAUGCAAGUCGAACGAAUCCCAUUUGUGUAGCAAUACACGGGUGGGGGAAGUGGCGAAAGGGGCAGUAAGGCGUGGGUAACCUACCCUGGGGAUGGGCAUAGCCGUUCUAACGAGCGGGUAAUACCCAGCGAUUCGGCCGAGGGGACAUCCUCUUGCCGGGAAAUGAGAUUCGCCUCGGGAGGGGCUCACGUGCUAUUAGCUAGUUGGUGAGGUAACGGCUCACCAAGGCAAAGAUGGCUAGCGGGUGUGAGAGCACGACCCGCGCCACUGGCACUGAGACACUGGCCAGACACCUACGGGUGGCUGCAGUCGAGGAUCUUCGUCAAUGGGCGCAAGCCUGAACGAGCGACGCCGCGUGUGCGGUGAAGGCCUUCGGGUUGUAAAGCACUGUCGAGGGGGAUC